rnacentral:rRNA from 1 species
UACGUAGGGUGCGAGCGUUGUCCGGAAUUAUUGGGCGUAAAGAGCUCGUAGGCGGCCUGUCGCGUCGGUUGUGAAAGCCCGGGGCUUAACCCCGGGUCUGCAGUCGAUACGGGCAGGCUAGAGUUCGGUAGGGGAGAUCGGAAUUCCUGGUGUAGCGGUGAAAUGCGCAGAUAUCAUGAGGAAGACCAGUGGCGAAGGCGGGUCUCUGGACAGUUCCUGACACUGAGACACGAAGGCCAGGGGAGCAAACGGG